UCCGAACGACUCUCGGCAACGGAUAUCUCAGCUCUCGCAUCGAUGAAGAACGUAGCAAAAUGCGAUACUUGGUGUGAAUUGCAGAAUCCCGUGAACCAUUGAGUUUUUGAAUGCAAGUU
rnacentral:rRNA from 1 species